UGAGGCCACGGGGCCGCAGAGCUGGUGGGGGCAGGAGCAACACGGGGACAGUCGGAACCCCGCUCUGCCUACCUCCGGGCUCCAGCGAGAAGGGCCAGGAAAUGAAGGGGAGCCAGGCAGAGGCGGAAAGGGGUCCUGGGGAAGAAGGGCGACGCGGAGGGGAACCACAGAGAGGGGGAGAGAUGGCCACAGGGGCCAGAAGGGACAUGGAGCGGGCUCAGAGCAAGGACGCAGCAAGAGGUGACAGAGCAAAGCGGCCUGAUUAAAGACGAGCCGCAAGCCGAGGGGGGACAGGGACAGCAAACAGAAAGAAAGAAGAAAGCCGUCCUGGGAAGAAGUGAUGGGGGCAGAACAAAAGAGAACGGAGUGGCAGCCACAGCGAAACAAAGAAACAAGGCCAUUCCUCGACUCCUCGGGGCUCUGCCUCGGAUCUCCUAGGAGAGGAGGCAGAGCCAGCCAUGGAGUCGGAGGAGUCUCCGUGUUCUCCGAUUAAGCCCAGAGAUGGACAGAGGCUUGGAGCCGCCAGAGAGAGCGGGAAAGAAUUGGAAAAGAGGGACAGAAAGGAGCUUGGUGACCUUGACCGAGAGGCCACUCUCUAAGCCCCAGCUUCCUCCUCUGGGCAAAGGGGCUGACCGUCGGCCUGCCUCACAGGCUGCUGUGGCAUCUAGAAGGAGAACGGCUGGGAUGAAGCUUCGUAAACUGUGACCUAUUCCACUAAUAAAUGAUGCUUGCGCUGA